UUCACAAUCAAACGGAAAAACACCGGAGACUCGGAGAGGAUCCUGGUCCCUCUCUCUCUCUCUCUCUCUGUGUGGUAGGGUUUCUGGUCUCACUCUCUCUGCACCAGGGGUCUCUCUGCUCUGUAAUCAGAUACAAUUCGAGCUACACACAGCCAUGCCACGGUACUACUGUGAUUAUUGUGACACCUACUUGACACACGAUUCCCCAUCUGUAAGAAAGCAGCACAAUGCAGGUUACAAGCACAAGCACAAUGUUCGGACAUACUAUCAACAAUUUGAGGAGCAACAAACCCAAAGCUUGAUCGACCAAAGGAUUAAGGAACAUCUUGGGCAAGCUGCAGCAUUCCAGCAGGUUGGUGCUGCUUACAAUCAACAUCUACUGGGUCAGAGGCCCCGCCUUCCGGUUCUACCUACACCCGUAAUGUCACAUAUACCUGGAAGUUCACCAUUACUCCCAGGGAUGAGACCUCCUGUUUUACCAAGACCAAUUUCUGGACCUCCAGGGUAUCUGUCUUCUCCGACAAUGCCACCUAUGAUGGUUCCACCUGGUGCUCCUUCCUUUCCUGGUCAAUUGAAUGCUAUUCCAAGGCCUCCUGUGAGUGCAGCCACAACAGUUCCUGGAAGCACAGCAGGACCAACUUCCAAUGGUGCCCCACCUAUGGUCGCACCGCCAUUGUAUCAAGCCAGUCCAGCGCCAUCAACAAGUGGGGGCUAUGAUAAUCUCAAUGCCAAUGCCCAAGCUACUGAGGCUAAUCAUUAGUUUUGAGAAACUGGCAAACAAAGCAAGCAAGAAAUUCUUGUGGUACAACAAUUCAACAAACACCCUCAGUUGGGAUUUCCAUCUCAUGGUCUUGUAAUCCUCACUAUCGGAGAUUUUUGCUUGAAAUAUGUAUUUGGUAAACCACUUACAAGUGCUGGUUGAAGGAUGGGACUAAUAUUUUGGCAAAUCCUGAUGUAGUUUUCUAUGGCCCUGCCUUGUGCAAACCUUCACUAUCUUCAAGGAUCAUUUAACUGAUUACACAUUGAAUGGCACUAGGGCUUGAAGAUAAAUGCCAGUAAGAUUCUUGGCAUGUUUUUCAAGGAUCAAGAACAGAUUGAAAGAACAGAUGUUCUGCAUGAGAUAGAAGCAACGAUGUCGUUUAAUGGGGCCGACUGUGCUGAUCAAUAGUGCUUUGUCACGCGGAGAACAAACCUUUUGAUCUGAUCUUAAUGAUUCUCGGAGCAAAAAGGAUCAUUUGACUGAUUACAAGAUGCCUUUAAAGUUUCAGAAGUUGCCGCUUCUCCAGUGUGUUUGAUAAUCUCGACUACAGUAAACAACAUAACAUUGUUUUUGCGGUGGGAUUUACAGCAUUUGUUACGUUAAACAAAUUAACUAAGGCCAAGGAGGUAUUUACCUGUUACAAUAAUCAAUUUUAUUUUAUUUUUUUGUUGAAGUAA